GACGUAGGGAGCUAGCGUUGUUCGGAAUUACUGGGCGUAAAGCGCACGUAGGCGGCUUUGUAAGUUAGAGGUGAAAGCCUGGGGCUCAACCCCAGAAUUGCCUUUAAGACUGCAUCGCUUGAAUCCAGGAGAGGUGAGUGGAAUUCCUGGUGUAGCGGUGAAAUGCGCAGAUAUCAGGAGGAACACCGGUGGCGAAGGCGGUUCUCUGGGCAUGUUCUGACGCUGGAGGAGCGAAAGCCGUGGGGAGCAAACAGG
rnacentral:rRNA from 1 species